rnacentral:lncRNA from 1 species
ACUCCUCACUCCUCACUCCUCAAAACCUGAUCUGUCUUCAACGCCGCCAUCGGCUUCAACUCCAUUAAAUCAGGUAAAAAGUACCCACUUCUUGGAGACGUAUGAGGAUAGAUUUUUCCCAGUUGGGGGCUUCAACUGAAAUAUUUCUCUUCUUCUUUGCGAGUUUUAGAAAUGUGUAAUUUUAUUUAGAGUUAUACAUGUAAGCUUUAAUUUCACACGAUAAUUUUGUUCGCUCAUCGUAUUAGAGAUCUGGUAUGAAUUUCUUGGAAUUAUCAUUUUCUUCCACUAUACCUUGCGAUCCAGUCAGCAGUCAUUUUCUUUCCUUUUUGGGUAAUCGUAUUGUAGAUCUUGAAACAAUGAUAAUUUUAGGAAAAUUGAUAAUUUUGUGGUUGGGUUUUAUUUUUAUUUUUAUUUUGAAGCAAGCCACUUGUGGUAAAAUGGGAUUUUUUGGUUCAGCAAAUACAAUUGGAUUUUAUUUUUUUUUGUGUGUGUAAAAUCUCCAAUUGAAAACCUCUUGUCUAGUGAUAAAGGAAAUCGGACUGAACUGUAUUUUGUCUACCCGCACUUAAUAAAGUUUGCUGCUUAUUUUACUGAUAAGUAGUUUAUUACUUAUGAGUUGGUCUUAUCUUAAUUAAAUGCUUACGACCGAUCCAAUUUGUUAUUUGGACAGGUUGGACAAUUGAUCGCACUGUAAUUUGUUGACUUCACUACUCUCAAAAGGCUAUGACUUAAGCAGCAUGUUUUUGCUACCAUAGAAAGAGAGAUCUGAUCCAGAUCUAGUUUCUCUCCAUUUUCUGGUAGAAGAAAAUGGCCCAACCUUUCAUCAUUUUCGGGAGGCUUGGCAAUUUACUAAUUGUGGAGGAUAAAUUUUGUUUUGAUGCGAAUGACCCGGUGCAUCAUUUGGAAACUGUUAUAAAAAAUGAGGUUGCUCAAAGUGUCAUGAGCGGAAGAAUAUGUGAUAUUGGUAUGGGCGGCAUAGGAAAUAUUACUACCUUCGUGCUCUGUUUCUAAGGUAUACCUCCUAUACGUAGACGCAAAUUUAGAAAGUUAAUUUACUGAAUAUUGGAAAUAUUUAUUUUUUCUUCAUUAGAAAAAAGGGCUUGGCAUGAGUAUCUUUAGAAGGUUUUUAUUAUGAUAAUUAUGCUUUUUUAAAUUUAUUGGAAGACAUGCCAAUUGUGAUAACCCCAUGAAUUGGAAGGAUUUCGUUUAGGAACUAAAGUAGUUAUUGUUGGUUUGCUUAUGUGGUUUUUGUGGUUCUGAUGUUAGAGAAUAUGCAGCUUGUCAAUCUAUGCAGUUAAUGGAUUUUAAAUAUCAGCUUAUAGUAUAAUUAGAUGUCAUUUUGUACAAUAGUUUUUAGAUUUUUUAUACUUUAGUAUCAAGUAUAAAGGAUUUUAUUGAUUCUACAAUGUUUUGUUUCAAAAGUACAUAAUUGAAAAGUCCAGAUUUUUUAGUGAAAAAGUAUAAAUAUUUGUGACUCCACUUAUUGCUCAUAUAUUUUUCCAUGUUUUUUUACUAUGUAAUAGUAUAAUUUUACGAAGCUUAUAUAUUCAUAUGCAUUUAGGUUGUUUUAGUAAUAGAUAUUUAUAAUGAUGUCUUUACUUUAUCUUGAUUUGUAUGUGUUAAGAGGGAUAAGUGGUUCCCAAUUUAUAUGAUACAACACAAGUUGAAGGGGGCCCCACAUUUUUAAGGGUGAACUGUGCACACUUGCUGAGAAAAAGUCCAAACUCGUUACUAUAAUUAAAAUUAAAUCUUAAUUGCAUUACGGAUUGUAUAUAGUUAAUUGAUUAUGAUCAUUUUCUUUUUGUAGGGAAAAUACAUUCACUUCUCAAGGCCAAAGAAAUUGAUAUUGUUAUGGAUAGCAGAAGGAUUCAGAGAGAAAGUUAGGAACAAGAGCCUAAAGGAUGCGACUCUAUCAUUGGAUUAUCUAAUGGAUCUAAUAAAUAGUAACUCUAUUUAAGUUGCCAAAAGAAGAUCUGACGGUGGAGUCAAAACUUGUAAUAUUAAUUAUUUUAUUAUAUGUGCUUAAAAAUAGUUAAAGAAAGAAAUUUGAAUGUAUGAGUGGAGUCAAAAGUCAUAUAAGAAUGAUAAUAUUGUAUCAAGGGUGUUGUAAGAAUAGGCGAAGAUGGAAAUUCGAACGUAUGAUGCAAAAGUCGUAUAAGAAUGAUAAUAUUGUAUAAAUGAUAUAUUGUAUGAUGUGCUUAAAAAUAGUUGAAGAAGGAAGUCUAGUUUAUGUUAAUCUAGUAGUUAGUUUUUUCUUUUUAACUGUUGCUUCUUUUUCUUCCUCGUAUAUAUUUUAACCUACUGAUUAGUGUUGAUCAUUUCGAUGGUGUUUAUGUCGUCGUUGAUAUGUCUUUAGAGUUCUUUAAUUGAUGUCUACAAGAUUCUCCGGUCAAUUAUUGUUAUGGAUGAUUUUUCUCCAUAAAUGGUUUGAUAUGAUAACCGUGAGUUUCUAUGUUCAACUAUCAUGGUGAAAAGAAGUUUGGAUUUACCUGUAGUAACCAAAUGCUGCUAUGGUGAAUGAUUUUAUAGUCUAUAUCGACAAAUUUCAAUUGUAACAACACA